UCCCCGUUAUCCGAGGCGGUUUCACUAGAGUUCCCAGCAUUACCUGAUGGCAACUAGUGAUGGGGGUUGCGCUCGUUGCGGGACUUAACCCAACACCUCACGGCACGAGCUGACGACAGCCAUGCAGCACCUUAUCCCGCGUCUAUUGCUAGAAGGGUAGCUUUCACCACCUGUCACGGGACAUUCUAGCCCAGGUAAGGUUCCUCGCGUAUCAUCGAAUUAAACCACAUGCUCCGCCGCUUGUGCGGACCCCCGCCAAUUCCUUUGAGUUUCAACCUUGCGGUCGUACUUCCCAGGUGGGAUACUUAAUGCUUUCGCUCAGACACACACUGUGUAUCGCGUAUGUCGAGUAUCCAUCGUUUAGGGCGUGGACUAC
rnacentral:misc_RNA from 1 species